GGGUGAUAAAUGAUGCAUUCCGCAUUCUGCCUAGUGUUCGCCCGUGUGGCACCUGCAAAGCAACACCUGGAGGCAACAUCACCCAGCAACAUGGACGUCAGGGCGAAAAACAGAAAGCACCAAGGAAUACACAAGGCCCUGGAAAAUUACUUACAACGGAGGCAAGGAGGAGUCUCCACCCUCGGAAAUCCGCAUGUUCCCGUGUGUGUGUGUGGGGGGGGGGGGG
rnacentral:lncRNA from 1 species